rnacentral:rRNA from 1 species
GAGGAACCUCUCCUGUAAUCGACAAUCCACGUAAAUUUUACCUAGAUUUGGAUUACAGCUUGUAUAUCGCUGUCGUAAGAUUAUUUUAUGAGAAAUUUUUCUGAAUUAAGGUUUUAUUUAUGUCAAGUCAAGGUGCAGUAUAUGUCUAGGGUUGAGAUGGGUUACAAUAUCAGUAGGUAUAUGGAGAUAGAGUUGUAAGGUUUUAUUGAAGGUGGAUUUAAUUGUAAUAUGA